GGCCUCAGCCGUUGUGGUGGGGCCCACCUACGUGCCGUUGGUAAACGGGAAUCUAAUAUUGUUGCUGGUAGUUUCGUAACUAAGGCACUGAUCGAGGGCAUUUUAGAAAAUUUGGGCCGAGCACAAUUAUUACGCCCCAAGCCAGCUCCACCAAACGGACACAGGACAAAACUAAACCCCCGCGCCACCGGAAGCAGCCCGUUUCCAUCCCUCCAUGCCUUUCUCUUUGGUCGCACCAACAGGCGA
rnacentral:lncRNA from 1 species